AUGAACGCUGGCGGCGUGCCUAAUCCCUGCAAGUCGCGCGAACAGACGAGGAGCUUGCUCCUUUGACGUUAGCGGCGGACGGGUGAGUAACACGUGGGUAACCUACCUAUAAGACUGGGAUAACUUCGGGAAACCGGAGCUAAUACCGGAUAAUAUUUCGAACCGCAUGGUUCGAUAGUGAAAGAUGGCUCUGCUAUCACUUAUAGAUGGACCUGCGCCGUAUUAGCUAGUUGGUAAGGUAACGGCUUACCAAGGCAACGAUACGUAGCCGACCUGAGAGGGUGAUCGGCCACACUGGAACUGAGACACGGUCCAGACUCCUACGGGAGGCAGCAGUAGGGAAUCUUCCGCAAUGGGCGAAAGCCUGACGGAGCAACGCCGCGUGAGUGAUGAAGGUCUUCGGAUCGUAAAACUCUGUUAUUAGGGAAGAACAAACGUGUAAGUAACUGUGCACGUCUUGACGGUACCUAAUCAGAAAGCCACGGCUAACUACGUG
rnacentral:rRNA from 1 species